ensembl:lncRNA
GUUUUUGUCAAGUUUUAUUGGAACCCACCCAAUAGAAACAAAUGCCUGUUGUCUCUGGCUGCUCUGCUGAGGGCAAAGCUAAGUAGUUGCAACAGAGGCCUCAUUGCCCACCAAGCUGAAAAUACUUACUAUGACCCUUUACAGAAAGUUUGGUGACCCCUGCUUUAGGACUGAAUAAAGGCUAAAUACAACAGUAUUUUAAAAAAUGGGGAAACAGUGACACACACAACAGGCUGAAAUCUAGAAGAUUCCACCCAUGCAAAGAACAGUGUUUUACGGUUCAUUCAACUGUGGAGCACAAUUCAAAUUUAUCCCAUACGUUCUCUGACUGGAAACUAUUGUGUUGAGUCAACUGGUGAGUGUCUUUGCCUAAAGCCACAAUGUCAAGAUAUUACCUGUAAGCAUAUUUAUGUAGUGUGUUGGAGAAGAAGUUGUUAUUCAGCAACAGGUAGUCAGAGUUGUUCUGCAUCUUCAUCAGCACUUGGUAUUGUCAGCAUUUCUAAUUUUAGCCAUUCUAAUUGAUGUGUCGUGAAAUCUCAUUGUGAUUUUUUUUUUUUGAAGAUUUUAUUUUUUCCUUUUUUCUCCCCAAAGCCCCCCAGUACAUAGUUGUAUAUUCUUCGUUGUGGGUCCUUCUAGUUGUGGCAUGUGGGACGCUGCCUCAGCGUGGUUUGAUGAGCGGUGCCAUGUCCGUGCCCAGGAUUCGAACCAACGAAACACUGGGCCGCCUGCAGCAGAGCGCGAACUUCACCACUCAGCCACGGGGCCAGCCCCAGUCUCAUUGUGAUUUUAAUUUACGUUUCCCUAAUGGUGGAGGACGGUGAACAUCUGUUCGUGUACUCAUUUGCCAUCUCUGUGUCUUUGGUGAAGUGUCUGUUCAAGUCUUUUGUUUAUUUUUAAAUCGGCUUGUUUGUUUUCCUACUGUUUGAUGGAUACAAAUCCCUUGUCAGACAUGUACUUUGCAAUAUUUUCUCCUGGUUUGCAGCUUGCCUCUUCAUUCACUUAACAGUGUUUUUCUUAGAGCAAAAAUUUUAAUUUUGGUGAAGUCCAAUUUAUCAAUUCUUUUCUUUUAUGGAUCAUGCUUUUUGGUGUCAUGUCUAAGAAAUCUUUGUCUAGCCUUGGGUCUUGAAGAUGUUUUUCCUGUAUUUUCUUCUAAAUAUUUUACAGUUUUACAAAUUACAGUUAGAUUUAUGAUCUAUUUUGAGUUAAUUUUGUUUAAAGUGUGAGGUUUAUAUUUUUUGUUUACUUGUUUUUGGGGGCAAUAUGGAUGGAUGUCCAGUUGUUCCAGGACCAUUUUCACAGUCAGAAAUUGAAAUUAAGAAACAAUGCAAUUUAUUAUAAUGUCCAAAAUUAUCACAGUCCUAGGAAUAAAUUUGACAAAAGACGUGAAGGCGCUGUACAGCAAAAUCUGUACAACAUUGCUGAGAGAAAUGAAGUUAAUAAGACGCGGAUGGGAUAUGUGCAGUGUUCCUGGAGUGGAAACUUAAUUUUCUUAAGAUGUCUGUUUCCUCCCAAUGGAUCCAUAUGCAAUGCAAUUGCAACCAAUGUCCAAAUAGACUUUUUUGGGUAGAAGUGUGUGAAAAAUCUGGUUUCAAAGUUUAACUGCAAAGGAUCUACAGUAGCUAAAACAACUUUGAAAAAUAAGAAUAAAUUUGGAGCGGCUACUCUACGUAACUCCAAGACUUAUUACAGAGCUACAGCAGUGAGGACAGUCUGGUAUUGGAGUUGAGACAGACAGACAGACCCAUGGAACCAUAUAGAGUCCAGAAACGGAGCUAUGUCUACACGGCCACUUGGUUUUUGACACAGAUGGAAAGGCAAUUCAGUGCAGGAAGGGUAAUUUUUUUGAUAAAUCGUCUUGGAACAAGUGGAUAUAUUAAAAACUCUCUGAUCCUUCCUCACACCAUACAUCAGAUUCAUUCACGGUGGAUCAUAAUCCUAAAAAAAAAAGCUGAAAAUAUAAAACGCUUAGAAGAAAACAGGACAAAAUCUUAGAGUCUCUGUGUUUGGCACAGAUUUCUCACACACGACACAAAAAGUAGGAAUUAUAAAAGAAAAAGUCAAUCAAAAUUUAAAAUGUUUUGCUCUUUAAAGUCACUGUUACUCAGCAUCUUCCGCCUUUUCUCCCGGCCGAGAGUGGGGUGGUACAGAUAACCUAUCCUCCCCUAUUCCUGGGAAGAGAACUUGGAAUGACCUGCACCACCUGGUUGGCGUGAAGAUGAAGGAAACAGGCUCGUCUAGGCUCUCUCUCUCUUUGGUGGGACCCAUCCAUGAAUGCCAACCCCACCUCCUUGCCUACCUGACACUCUUCCUCUUUUCAGGCCUCAGCUAGUUACCUGCCCCACAAGGCUUCCCUGUCUCCCUCAGGGAGACUAAGGCAUGGCUUCUUUCAGGUGCCAUCUGGGCUUGUGCUGCAGUGAGCCGGGGGCCAAGGGCAUUGCCUUCAACUUAGUCUGCUGAGCAACAGUGCAUGCUGGCCCCCUGCCCUCGCUGGGUCCACCUCUACAGCAUCCAUCUCUAGGAGACCCCAGUAGGGAGGAGCCUCACCAUGAAGGAAAUUGCAGUGUUUGUACUGAGAGGAGGCAAGAAAAGAUUGAGAAGAGCGACUCAGGCAGAGAACACCGCACAGCAAAAAAACUCUAUGUCAGGGCCAAGGACGUGGGGUUUGUCAUCCAGCCCCAUCUAACUGCUUCCUGGGGAACAGUUUGGGAGUAUGGAUAAUAACUGUCAAUUACAAAGCACCUACUGUGUGUGUGGCACUGUGCAAGCUGUUUGUUCCUCAAUCACAUCUGCUCUCCGAGUGGAGGGGACGGGUAUUAUUUUCAUCUUCAUUUCAAGCUUAUGGAAAGUGAGACUCAAAAAGUUAAAGUCAACUGCCCAAGGUCAUGAAGAGCGUAUAAUCAGGUAGGAAUCUCUGACUCCAAAGGUCUUGCUCUAAGUCACUCUGCUGCAAUGCCUGUCCAGACAUGAGGAAUGUCAGAGGAUUCCGUCCAUUGCCUCUUGUUGGCUGAAGGUACCCAGACUUUUCUGACAUCACCGGGGACCACCCACUCCUUGCUUUGGCCAUGUUGGGCCCUCGCCCCAGGCUGCUGUGGCUCACCCAGAGUUUCCGACUCCCCCUGGCUGCAGGGCACGGCGUCUGGUAUCACCGAUGGAGCUGGAUGGAUGACAAAUCCUAGAAGUGCGGGAAGACUUCCUGGGAUGAAUUUUGACUAAUGGGAACCUGGAGGUAGGAGGGAGCUGGGCAGAUGAAUUCUGCCACCUUCCUCUCUCCCGCUGGGGACUCUGAGGCAUAGUUUCUCCUCACGACCCAUCUGGAGAAGUUCCACUUGCCGAGCAAACUGCUAAGUCUCUUCGUGGUUCCUUGUGGAUUUGGGGCCAGUGCAGUACCUACCACUGCACAUUUGCCUCUUAUCUUUGGCUCACUCCCAUAUUUCAUGGUUCCUGGUAGGCCAGGGGAGAUCUAGUGGGGAGGUUGGGGCAAGCAGGUGUAUAUGGCAUGGAUGCUCUAGGAUUUGGUAGAGAAAGAGAGUGACAAAAGAAGUUGCAGAGUCUAUCAGGGCCAAAUACAGAUUUAUAUUAUUUUAACUUUUUUUCUAAGUGACUUCAUGCCACCAGAGGACAUCUGGGGGCUCCUGUGACUUUGGUGGUUGGGAUCUCCAUUGGUCAGGGGAAGAAGCUAAUGGUCAGAUUCUCACACCUGAGCACCAGUUGCAUGUUGAUGAUGUGUGGUGAAGAUGACGUGUUCAUCUUUGGUUCUCUGGACCAGUCCCCUCUGGGGUUGUCCUGCCCGGCCCUGAGCCCUGAGUCAAGAUGUUGCUGUGAGAAAGGAGAGGAGAGGGGUAGGGAGAGAUGGCUUACCACCAUGUCGGCUAGCUCUACAUUCUGCUCAGCCGGAGGGCAUCCACCUCGUCUUUGAACAUCUUCAGGGGCCGCAAAAUUAUUGAGGACUCAAAAGAGUCAGCAAAUGAGCUCUCAAAGAAAGCUUUUAUAUACUCACCCAACUCUGCACACAGAGGCUGGAGGAAAAGAGUUAGGCCCAUUCAUCAUGAUGGCAACAGGGCCAUCACACCUUGUUAAGGGAACAGCGCACACAUGGCAUGACCCCACCUGUGCAGCAAGAUGCCAGUGUACGGAUGCCGUGUGUGGAUGGAUGGGAAAAAACUCAAUGUUAUGAGUCUGGCAAGUCAACUCUGACUAUGUCUGGGCGACUUCCAUUGUCUUCCAUGGGCUUUUCCUUAUUUUUCAAAAUUUCUAAAGAAUGGUAUCUCCGUGACACAGUGCCUUGCCUAACCCCUUUAAUUUGUCCCUAAAAACCCUGCCCAUUAAGUGAAAUGUUACAUGAAAAACCAUCUCCAUUACUUUUAAUGGGAAAACUUAUGAUGCAUUUCAUUACAAUUCAACAUUCCUGAAUUAUUUUCACAGAUAGAAAAAUAGUGAAUGGAACAAUGAAAAGAAGUUUAUAUAUGUAAUACAUGACAGUUUGAAAGCGAAAAUACAGUUUAUACAUAAAGGUAUUAUAAUAAAGGCAUGUUGUACUCAUUUUUGUUGUUAUUUCCACAAAAUUUGCUUCACCAACUUCACAGUCCUUUUGAGGCUGUCAACAAAAAUCUCUGGAAUACAAGAACUUAGGAAUUUGGGAAAGCUUUAGUGCUCAUACAGUUUGCAAA